UGGAAGAAUGAGCCCCAAGAGCAGCGGGGUGU
rnacentral:piRNA from 1 species